rnacentral:lncRNA from 1 species
ACUUUACACAAUUUGCAUAAAGAUGAGUUGGUUUUUAACAGUGUUCUUUUGCCUGCUGUAUUGUGUGUUCUAUGUUGUUUUGAUGUAGUUUCUGUUUAUAAAUACUAACAUCCUCCUUUCUCAAGACAUUCAGUCAUGUCAAGUGUAACCUAUGGAUUUUUCUGGGUUUACUUAGUAAAGAUUUAUGAAUGAAUAAGUCAAUGAAGAAAAAAUGUUCCUUUCAUGCAGAUUUUACUUUAUAAUAUGACAGGGAACACACAUCAUAGUAAAGUAUGUUUGCAUAUAUAGGAUAUAGUAACAUAAAAUUAAAAAUAAUGAAAAUUAAUAUGUUAACAAAAGCAGUAUGUGGUCAUACUUGUGGAAUGAAUGUAUUUGGUAGUGUGAAAUACCAAAAACCUCUAUUGCUUGAUAUUUUCAAUGUUAACCCCCAAAUGGUGGUGGUAGUUUUCUUAAACAUAGGACAAAAUGACGUGCAUGGUGAGGGAUAAAGUACAUUUUUCUAGAAACACAUUUGCUUUCUGUUUUAUGAUUAGGUAUAGAAUGUUUGCUGUAGGCCAAC